rnacentral:rRNA from 1 species
GUACACUCCUGCGGGAGGCAGCAGUGGGGAAUAUUGGACAAUGGGCGCAAGCCUGAUCCAGCCAUGCCGCGUGAGUGAUGAAGGCCCUAGGGUUGUAAAGCUCUUUCACCGGUGAAGAUAAUGACGGUAACCGGAGAAGAAGCCCCGGCUAACUUCGUGCCAGCAGCCGCGGUAAUACGAAGGGGGCUAGCGUUGUUCGGAUUUACUGGGCGUAAAGCGCACGUAGGCGGACUAUUAAGUCAGGGGUGAAAUCCCGGGGCUCAACCCCGGAACUGCCUUUGAUACUGGUAGUCUUGAGUUCGAGAGAGGUGAGUGGAAUUCCGAGUGUAGAGGUGAAAUUCGUAGAUAUUCGGAGGAACACCAGUGGCGAAGGCGGCUCACUGGCUCGAUACUGACGCUGAGGUGCGAAAGCGUGGGGAGCAAACAGGAUUAGAAACCCUGGUAGUCCCAU